CCUCGCUUAUGAGUAGGAAAAGCCUCAGGGUCAAGCGUCAAUGAAGGCUUGUCCAAGGUGGUUGAUAAACUUUCAUAGGAGUUGGCAAGUGAAGAAGAUUGGCUUGAUGAGAGUGGAAGAGAGAAGUUGUCAGAAACUAUGGCAAGAAGAUCGUCCUCUGUCAUCCGAACCAACUUCUCGAGGGGCCAAAAAUCACUAACAUGAUUGAUCCACUGUUUUUUUUCUGGAGUUUUAGUGAUCGCUCGCACUCGGCCAAAACGCUCAAUGGCUUCUGGCAUACCGGAAGGAAGGCUACUCACCACGUGUCUCAACAGCCUUUGAGCUAAACGACAACCAUUUGAUGAAGUACUUAAAGAAAUUUGAAGAGGUGGUUCUGACCACGUAGCUGGUAGAGUAAAGGAGCACAAAGAAGGAUUAUCAAUGAUGUUUAAUGGGAUUCGGUACCUUUUGCACGUACGAUGUAAAAUUUCCUUUUCAUGGUGGUUGGACUCUGACACGAAAACAGCAUCCACCAAAAAAUCUGUCUCCUCCUUUCCCAGCGUCGUUAAUGAACGAACGGGAUCAAAUUCAGAAAUGGGAAGAAUUUCAAUAGCAUCCGAUUUUUUUGCGUCAAGCUGAAGAUGACCAACGUCAAAUCCACCAUCAGCGGAGCUGCGACAAAACCAAAAAAUUUUAGAAGAAUUUUCACUUAAACAUAAAUUCACCCGUCGGUAAGCAUUUUUUCCUGAACCAACGACUACAACAACGGCGUCUUUCAAGGACCAGGAAACAAUCAUUGUAGUAGUUUCUAAUAGGUUAACUCAGGUGUACUUGGUAGAGAAUAGGUUUUUGCCCAAAAUUUUUUUUUAAUCUCCAAAUAUUGCGUCAAUCUUAUUUUCCAAUAUAUAUAUUUUCACUUCAAUUUUUCACAAUUUUAGUCACUUCGUUUUGGAUUGUCUUGGUGGAGAAGAAGAGCUGCUGGCUGAAGUACUGCAAAAACCAGACUUUGUUGUUCUACGCAAAAAUGCGGGAAAGAAAGGAAAGAAAUAUCUCAUAAACCAACAAUUUAGCCUUUAGCUUAAGUUACAAAUUUUAAUUCUUUCUACGAAGCAAUCGAGCAAUUGAUUGCAACACUAUUAAACUGAUUGAUUAACUUGUAGAGAAAGACAAUUGUGCAGUGGUCGUUAAACCUCGGUAAAUUGAAUAAAGAUUUUCAACGAUAAUGAAAACAAUAAAUAAAUUUUGUACUUCCGAAUAUCGCUUUAAAUCCUCUUUACGUAUUACAACAACCCGUUAUCCGACCUCCUU